UACAGAGGGGGCAAGCGUUAUUCGGAAUUAUUGGGCGUAAAGGGCGCGUAGGCGGCUUUGCAAGUGACGGGUGAAAUCCCUCGGCUUAACCGAGGAACUGCCUGUCAGACUGUGAGGCUUGAGACCGGGAGAGGUGAGUGGAAUUCCCAGUGUAGCGGUGAAAUGCGUAGAUAUUGGGAGGAACACCUGAGGUGAAGACGGGUUGCUGGGCUGAUACUGACGCUGAGGCGCGAAAGCUAGGGUAGCAAACGGG
rnacentral:rRNA from 1 species